rnacentral:lncRNA from 1 species
GGUAGAAUAGGAAGGGGGGAGUAGAGUCGGUUCACUAGGGCCCAGCACGAGAGAGAGGGUAGAGAGGAUUAGAGUGAAAAAAGUUGGGCCGGGGGUAUUUGGAUAAUCUUAGGUUUUUCCUUUUAUAGAUAAAUAGUGUAAAUUUGGUUUUCACCAUUUAAAUCACAGGAAAUUAUAGAAGUGUCCAAAAUUAGUGAAACCAAUUUUGUUAGGAUUUUUUUAUUUUCCUUUAUGCAUUAAAAUUCUUACACCUUAGGAAAAAAUAAUAAAAUUUAGGUAUUUAUUUGAUGCCUUUUCAUUAAGAUAUUUAAAUAAAUACUUAACCUUUAUUAAGUGCAUAAAAUAUUGAAUAAUAUUUUCAUAUUCACAAAUUCUUAUUAACCCAUAGGAAUUAAGUUUUUAGAUUAGAAAAUAAUUAUAAUGCCUUCUAAAAAUAAAAGAAAAGGCCUAAGGUAGGAUUAGUAAAGAAAAUAAAAAUGGAUGGUUAAUCUUUAUGGGUAGUUAGUGUUGGCUUGCAACUUUAUCAUGAUAAGUUGUAUAGUCACUUGUUGGCUUGCAACUUUAUCAUGAAGGAAAGUUGUAUAGUCUUGAAUUCAAAAAUUUGCAUCACUAACCUCUGCAUUUACUAAAUCGUAGACAACGGAGCUCCAGAAGGGGAAUUCUUGGAAUUAUCUGAAGGACCUUCAGAGUUUGAGGAGAUUGUUGAAUUGAUCCCCUGUGAAGCCGGUCCAUCGGGCAACGCUAACAUUUUUACAGAUCAAGGCAAGCCCCGGUGCAUCUAUACCUAUCUACUUUGAAGUUAUUAUUUCACGUGUCCAAUUAUUGGUUAUUUUUCAUAUGAAUGCAUUAAGUCUAGGAGUUGGUUGAAACCUAUUCUUGUCCAUGAUCCUACCUUGUUUAGAGGACAUCUUUGCCACUUGUUCACUAAUUAGUAAUGAACUUAUGCUUAGCAAUGCUUAGAUACUUCAAGCAACUUGAUUGCUUAGCUCUAAGGUAAAUUGUUGGGUCAUACAUAUUAGUUAAGGAAGGUUAGCUUGGAAAUUUGAAAAGCCGACAGAAGCUAGAGAUAUUAGUUCUAUCUGCAAGGUUAAAUUGGUUAAGGCCUGGUCGUUGUCUUAACCUUUGAUCAAGUGAAUAUCACCUGGUUGCUUACUGGGUAUGGGAUCAGUAAAGCCCGGUAGGUUAGUUAACUCUCUGAUCGGGAAUAUGUCGUACCCGUGCUUGACGUGCUGGAGAAUGGCAGGGGCGUAGCCUGAAACUCACAUGAAGAUCGGGCUAGACGUGGGGUCCCAUGUGGGGGUGCGUCCCUGGGUUCAGGUAGUCUUAUUCCCAAUCUUUAGGUACGCUAAUCGAAGGGUCGUUAUGUACAACCUGGACAGUUGUACAUAGCUAGUGGUCAGGGUGCUCUUCUGCAGGAUGUAAAUUGAUCCGGAUCGCCGUAAUUGUCGAUUAUGAAUGAACUUGAUCACCAUUAAGCAUCGUAGUGUAAUCUAGUGAAUGUAAUGUUUUUCUUCCGAAAUUAAUAUGUUGUAUGACUUAAUUCCUACUGAUUGCAAAAGUAUUUCUUUUCCAUCAUCUAGACUGGACAGGUAACAACUCAAUCUGAAAUAAAGAUAAAGUUAAGGUUUCACUUAUAGUAAGCUCUUUUAGCAAAAUGUGAGUCAGCUAGUAAACUAAACAACUAUCAUUCAGUUUUGGAAAGACUAUUAUAUUGGUUAGUCGGGUUAGUCUUGCUGAGUACCCCGUACUCAGGGGAAUCCUUCAUUGCUAUUUCAGAGCCACAGCAGGAGUCCGCCGAGGAGGAAGCCCCAAAGAGCUAGGGUAUUUUUACGAGUCUCACAAUACCCUAGAAAUAAAACUCAGAUGUUUAUCUUUCACCUGGACUGGUUUAUGUUUUAAAACUCUUAGAACUGCUCUGACCUGCAUUAUUAAGUUUGUUUCAAACUAUGGUCUGUAAUAAUUCGCAUCUCGGUAUGUGUGUUAAAAUGUAAUAUUUGUUGAUACCUUCCCAUCGUGGAAGCGAUUCUAAUGUAUGGCUAUGGGACACAUCGUGGAUAUUUCGAGGAGUCCUAGGGACACUCGACGGACUACCAGACUUAUACUAUUUUAAGUGCGUUUCGGAUAAUUGUUGUUCCGACAGCGAUUAGGCGCACUUAAACCAGUUUAAGUUGGGCGGUUCUGCCACAGCUGGUAUCAAAGCCAUAGGUUGGGAUAAUCAACAGAUAUUACUGUUUAAAAAUUGAAACUCUAUUUUAAAUAAAGAAAAUGUGUCUUAGGUGGCAAUAGCAUUAAUUGGUUGAUUGUUUUGCAGAUGCUAACUGUUUGUUGCGUGUCGCUAGUAUUCGAUAGCAUAUUAUUAGGGAGAGAUUACGAUGCCACCAAUUUUCCUACGAGUGUGUAUAUGAGUCUGAAAGUACGUAGGAAUCAUUGCAUCAUAUUGCAUAGCAUGUUUUAAAAAAUUUUGGGUUUGGUGAGUGCCGUUAGACCUAACCCUACUUCUUUUAUCAGAUGUUCCAAGAGGGGUAUACUGAUCAAGAUGGGUGGACCUGGAAGCACUAUCUGGACAAACCUGGAUUUACACAAGUGUUGUGGAAGACACUUCAGGAGUUGGGAUUUCAUAAUCCUCCUGAAUAUUACUGGAGGAAGGAGGACACAUGCCAUAAGCAGUAUUGCACUGUGUACGUCCAUAUUCCCGAUGAAGAUACAAAUCCUAACUAGCAUUUGGAGGAAGUCAUGGAGCAGGGCAUUGAAUUCAAGGACACUAUUGAGAGGGCAGCCAUGACUGCCCUCACAGAGUUAUGUGAAAAGCAUAAGGUGGAAAUAGGGUCGAGUUCUGCUCGAUUCUAUCCCAUAAAACAUCAAGAUGAUGGUAUUUGGAGAAGAAGGAUUAAGGCAUUAAAGAAUUCAUCCCGUGUGGAGCACGAUGUCCUGGUUGCAACCGCCUCGGAUUAUAUGACGGCUAUGUAUAAUCUUCAUCAAUCAUGUAUAAGGGAGUAUUAUAAUCAAAGGAAGAAGAAUGAAGACGCCAAGAUGGAGGUAUGUGGUGCCAAACAUGACAAAGAAUUGUGUAAGAAGGCGGCACUAGACCGGGAACAUGAUAUGGAAAGGAUCAUGAGGGAGCAGUCUAAAAGAAUAGAUGAGUACGAAGAGAAGCUAAGAACAAUGCAGGAGUAUAUGGACGCUAGCAGGAACACGUCGGAGAGAGCACGAGAGGCAGCUGAAUCAAAUGUUAAUAGACUUGAGGCAGAAAGGUUUCAGCAGCUAGAUGAGAUAUUAUCCCUCCGUCUGGCAUUAGAGGAGAUGCAGGCUCAGGUACCUGCUCAAAAUAUGGUAAAUGUUCCACCGCCUCCACCCCCAGAAGAGCCACAACCACCAGCCCUGGAUGAGGGAGAUCAGUUUGUGGAUGUUGUAGGUGUCGAGGCUGACGUAGCUCCACUUGCAGCUCCCAAAAUUGACCUUUAUGCCCAUGAGAAUCUGGAAGGAUUUGAUGUUGAAAUGGAGGAUAAUCUAGGAGAAGCUCCAAUGGAAAAUCAUCAAUUUGCUUGGGCUAAUGCAAAUGCUGACGGAUUUGACCCACAAGGUCAUGGUCCUAUAGAACAAUGGGAAGAAGCCGAGCAUGAGGGCGAGGGAGAAGAAGAAGAAGAGGAACCGGAAGAGUUUGAAGGGAAUUAUGGUGUCAGUACAUCCUCAUCAUAUUCUUCAUAUACGUCAAGUGACCCAGGACCAGAAUCGGGAAGUGAGAACUCGGUCAAUCAACCCCCAUCUGUUGCUCCUCCAGGACAGACCCUAAUGACAGUGGAUCAGGACAUACUACAGGCUGCUAUGGCAAGGCUGGGGAUAAAUGUUGCGGAACUGGGCAUUUAUUCAUAUGGUGGCUGAAGGGUGACCAUGAUAAGAGGAUGUUGCUUAAGUUCAUGUAAUAUAAAUAAUGAUGUACUUAAGUAUGGUUUGUAUGUGACUACAAUAGUUGUGUUGAUAGAUGUGAAAAGCAAGCAUAUUUAUGAAGCUGGUGGCAAAUUGUUGCUUAGAUAUUAAUAUUCUGAUCGAUUUUUGGCAGAAUGACGGAUCCAAGAGGUCCUCGUGCUUCGAGGUCAGGGAGCCAUGAGGAGAGUCUACCUAGGGCCCCGACACUGGCUGAUGCUAUAGCCAGUCUCAUGAACUCGGGAGCCGAGCAAGCCCGGCUGCUCCAAAUGAUUGUACAGAAUACCGGGAAUGGUGGGGGUAGACGGGAUUCAGAACGUGGUGUAACCUACACCCAGUUUCUGGAGACCCAUCCUCCGGUUUUUCUGAAGGCCGAGCACCCGUUGGAGGCAAACGAGUGGCUUCAGACUAUGGAACAGAAGUUUCGAGUGAUUCCGCUUUGCACCACCACUCAGAAAGCAGAAUUUGCCGGACUCCAACUCCAGGGUCUCGCCGGAACCUGGUGGACUAGUUACCUAGCAAGACAACCUGUUGGGAAGGAAAUCACCUAGGAACAUUUUAAGGAAGCAUUUCGUACAUAGUUCGUACCGGAGGGAAUUCUACGAAUGAAGCUGGAGCAAUUUCUGAGACUUCAGAAGGGGAGUCGCAGUAUUCUAGAAUAUACAAAUGAAUUUGAUCACUUAGCUCAGUAUGCUCCAGAACAUGUUAACACAAAGUCCAAGAAGAGGGACUGUUACCUCCGGGGACUCAACGCAAGGAUGCAGGAGAAACUGUCUACCUGCACCUUUGCUGACUAUAGUUUUGCGGUAAGUGUGGCCAUUACCGCGGAAGAGAAGAUGAGAAUUCUAGAUGAAACCUUGAAGAAAGAAGAGUCUUUAAAAAGGAAGAAUAUUUCCUUUGGGACAUUUGGGAAUGCCCCGCAAAGAAUGAAGGUUGUAUAUUGAGGUCCUCCUCGACCUGCAUAUCGACCUUCUUUCCAACAGAGACCAUUUCAAUCUUGUAGUGCCAGAAAUCCUACCAAUAAUCCUGACCCUAUAAGUGCGCCACCCUUCGAAUUUCGCAGUCCUACUCCCCUAGGGAACCCGUAGGUUUGUUUUAACUAUGGGAAGCUGGGUCAUUUUGCUCGGGAUUGCCAUUUUCCCAAGGUUGGAGGAAACGUGAAUAUGAAAGCUCAAACCUCUGGCCAAGGCAUUGGUCAAAAAUUGGUUCGGCGAAAGUUUCUGAAUGCCAAGACUGGGCAAGCACAUUACAUGAAUGUGGAAGAGAUUCCAGAGGGCGAGCCUAUUCUGGCAGGUACGUUCCUCAUCAAUGACUACCCUGCCAUGGUUCUAUUUGAUUCAGGUGCAUCACAUACUUUCAUAAGUAGAGAUUUUGUUAAGAGGCACCAACUAGAAGUACACACCUUAAACACCAAAUAUGCUAUCCAAGCCACUGGAGCUACCCAAAAUACGAACCAAGUAGCUCGCAAUGUGAUUCUGAAUUUAGAAGGUAAUAAGGUGGGUGCUUUUCCUUUAAUUUUGGAAGAUCAAGGAAUAGAUAUCAUUUUGGGGGUAAAUUGGAUGAAAGAACAUAAAGUUCAAAUUGAUGUCGAUAACCGGAUCGUUAGUUUGAGGGAUACACGAGGACACCCCUUCAAACUCCAAUUACCCGCUCGUUCCUGUUUGGACUAGAUGGUUAAAAAGACUAGAGAAGUAACUCUAGAAUCUAUUCCCGUGGUCAAUGAGUUUGUAGAUGUGUUUCCUGAAGAUCUUCCUGGUUUACCGCCAGAUAGAGUGGUAGAGUUUACUAUUGAGCUACAACCUGGCACUGCCCCCAUUUCAAGAAGACCAUACAGAAUGCCACCUAGGAGUUAGCAGAAUUGCAAGUUCAACUCCAAGAAUUACUAGAUAAAGGUUUUGUUGGGCCUAGUACUUCACCGUGGGGCUGCCCAGCACUUUUUGUUAAAAAGAAAGACGACACCUUGAGGCUGUUUGUGGAUUACCACCCCUUGAAUGCGGUAACCGUUAAGAACAAGUAUCCAUUACCACGGAUUGACUUGUUAUUUGACCAGUUAGCUGGAGCCAAGGUCUUUUCCAAAAUUGACCUUCGGUCAGGAUAUCAUUAGAUUAAAAUAAAGCCCGAAGACAUACCUAAGACAACAUUCUCAACCAGAUAUGGGUUAUAUGAAUAUUUGCUCAUGUCCUUUGGGUUGACAAAUGCCCCAGCGCAUUUUAUGUACCUCAUGAACUCGGUAUUUAUGCUAGAGUUAGACAAAUUUGUGGUAGUUUUUAUUGAUGAUAUCCUAGUCUUCUCUAAGAAUGAGGAGGAACAUGCGCAGCAUCUGCGUAUUAUUCUAAAUAGGCUUCGGGAACACCAGUUAUAUACCAAGUUUAGUAAAUGUGAAUUUUGGUUGAAGAAAGUUCCAUUCCUUGGGCAUGUUUUGUCCAAAAAAGGAAUUGAAGUGGAUCCCGGAAAGGUCAAGGACAUAUUAGAUUGGAAGCCACCAACAUCUGUCCAUGAAGUGAGAAGUUUCCUAGGGAUGCCCGGAUAUUACCGUAGGUUCAUUCCUAACUUCUCAAAAAUUUCCAAGCCAAUCAAGGAAUUAUUAAAGAAGGAAGUGAGAUUUGAAUGGAGCUCCGAAUGCGAAGAAUGAUUCCAAAUGUUGAAGAAACUAUUAACUACAACACCAGUAUUGGCUCAACCUGACUUGGAGAAAUCUUUUGAUGUUUACUGUGAUGCUUCAGGAACAGGGAUAGGAUGUGUUCUUAUGCAAGAAGGUAGGGUUAUUGCUUACGCUUCUCGACAGUUGAAGCGACAUGAAGAGCAUUACCCUACCCAUGAUUUGGAGCUUGCUGUUGUGGUUCAUGCAUUAAAGAUAUGGCGGCACUACCUUCUAGGUAGUGACUGUCGUAUUUUUAUAGACCACAAGAGCUUAAAGUAUAUUUUCACUCAAAUGGACUUAAAUAUGAGGCAGAGACAGUGGUUGGAGGUAAUUAAAGAUUAUAAGUUAGAAAUUCAUUACCAUUCGGGUAAGGCUAAUGUGGUGGCUGAUGCUUUGAGCAGGAAGGCUCAAUGCCACUGCACCAAUAUUCAAUCUAGCCUUAAGACCUUGUGCGAAGAGCUAGAAGACUUAAGUUUGGAAAUAGUAACAUAAGGAACUCUCCAGAACAUUAUCUUGCAAGACACCUUGAAAGAAAGAAUUAUAACAGCCCAGAAAGAGGAUCUAUGGGUAAAGAUGCUUCAUAAACAGAAAGUGGAGGGCAAAAUUUCUGAGUUCACUCAACACAAGGAUGGAGGAUUGUAUUUCAAGAAUAGGAUUGUAGUGCCCAAGGAUGUGAAAUUGAGAAAGAUGAUUUUGGAUGAAGCACACCUGUCUAAGUUCGCCAUUCACCCCGGAAGUAACAAAAUGUAUCAAGAUUUGAAGCAUAGAUUCUGGUGGGCCAUGAUGAAACCAGAAAUUGCAAGAUAUGUGGCCGAAUGCGAUACCUGUCGAAGAAUUAAACCGAUCCUUCAAAAAUAUGCUGGUUUGCUUCAGCCUUUGGCAAUUCCUGUUUGGAAAUGGGAAGACAUUUCCAUAGACUUCAUAGUCGGGUUGCCUACUACUUCAAAAGGGCAUGAUUCCAUAUGGGUUAUUGUUGAUCGACUUACUAAGUCACCCCAUUUUAUUCCCGUCAAAACCACAUAUCCCGUAUCAACCUAUGCAAAGAUAUAUAUGACCCGGAUUGUAUCCCUGCAUGGGGUACCUAAGACAAUUAUUUCUGAUCGAGGCUCUCAAUUUGUUUCCAGGUUCUGGGAACAACUGCAUAAAGUUAUGGGAACUACUUUGAUUAGAAGCUCGGCCUAUCAUCCUCAAACAGGGGGACAAAUAGAAAGAGUCAACCAAAUCUUGGAAGACAUGCUAAGAGCUUGUGUCCUUACCUUCUCAAAGCUAUGGGACGAAUGCUUGCCCCUAGCUGAGUUCUCCUAUAAUAAUAGCUACCAAGCUAGUAUUAAGAUGGCACCUUUUGAAGCUUUGUAUGGUCGAAGGUGCCGAACACCUUUGAAUUGGUCAAAAGAAGGAGAGAUGACACAUUUGGGGUCGGAUUUGGUUAUGAAAACUGAAGAAAAGGUCCGAAAAAUUCGUAAACAUCUUGAAAUAGCCCAGUCCCGACAAAAGAGUUACUCGGAUAAAAGGAGACGAUCUUUAGAAUUUCAUGUUGGGGACUUCGUGUAUCUGAAGGUAUCUUCGAUGAAGGGAGUGCAACGUUUUGGAGUAGAAGGUAAAUUAGCUCCAAGAUAUAUUAGUCCUUACAAGAUUCUAGAACGAAAAGGUCCAGUGGCAUACAAGCUUUCACUGCCAGACCAACUUGCCCUAUACAUGAUGUAUUUCAUGUAUCCUAGCUUAAGAAAUGCCUGAGAGUUCCAAAAGAAAUUUUAGAAGAUCCGGAAGUUGAGUUAGAACCAGACCUAACUUAUGAGGAGAAACCUAUUAAAAUUCUAGAUCAAAAGACAAGAGAUACGCGAACCAAAAGUAUCAAGUUUUACACGGUACAAUGGAAAAAUCAUACUCUAGAUGAGGCUACUUGGGAACAGGCCGAAGAAUUAGAAUCCAAGUAUCCCAAGUUGUUUGAAACCAUUGAAAUCAGAUAAAUAGUCAUUACUGAACAACCACCCCACUUUCUUUAUGCAGAAUAAAGAAAGAUGUUUUACCUGACGCGGUUUCCUUUCCAUUCUCCAAACUGAGGGUUUAACGUUUGGAAUCUCGGGACGAGAUUCUAUUAAGGGGGAGAGGCUGUAACACCUCAUGUUAAGGACAGCCUAAAGGUGUCAAUGAGAAGUUAAUGAUGACUUUUGGAGCAAAAAGAGGGUAAUUGACUCAAAGUCAAAUUCAAGCCGAAUUUGACCAAAAUUGCAAUUUGAAAUUUUAAAUUCCGAAAAAUUUAGCAAAAAUAUGAAGUUGAGGCUGAGGAUGUUUAGAACUCAAAGGAAUGAAGUUGGAGACUAAAUCAAGUCUUAAACUCCUCAAGAAUGCAGCUUAAAAAGGAAAUCAAUCAAGUUACUAUUCCCCAUCCGAAAAUAUGCAAUUCAGAAAAACAUAACAAGUACCCGACUUUGGAAUUGAUUUCUGCCUGAUUUUCCAAGUAAGUGGGCAAAGGUGUCUGAUUAGUAAUGAAGUAUGACAUUUAAUUAAGCCUAGUAGGAUGUUGUUGACCAUAGAAAGUGGAGGGAUCAAAUUUAAAAUAGGACUCAAAGUCAGCACUCUGGCAGUUUUCAGCCUAGUUACUGAAACUGAAUUUUUCCUAAGUCUGAAACAGCAGUGAUUGACUAUGUUUGGAGCAAAUUUUAGAGAAAUGUAGUGCAAAAGGUAUAUGAGUUCAUGUGCAAAAUGGAAUCCUUGUUAGUUGUACAGCAUGAAUGGUUGAUGGUUGAACUAUAUGGAGUAAUAUUAAGCUACUCAAAUCGAGUCAAAAGAAGGGUAAAUGACCCUGAACAGUGAACUGUCGAACUGAAUCAAGGGAUUCAGAACAAUUCAGUUCUGCCCGAGAUGGAGACUCAAAAAUUGCGGCUCUAGGAUGUUUAUCUCGGGUAAAGGUUAAUAUAUCAAUUGAAGUACUCGAGUUUAUCUACAAGUUUGCUUAUAGGACUCCCGGACCGUAAGAUUCAAAAUCAACCGUUUUGAAGGUCUGAAUUUUCGGAGUAAAAGAAGGGGAGGGGAAAACAGCAAAGGCAGAGAUGUGUCCCUGCCGGUGCUUUCGCCGGUCGUCUGGUGCGAUGCAUAGGGACACCUCCUCACCCACGCAAGCCUACAGCUAGGCCAUGGUGGCACUCAUGCAAGCAGUGAAAAAUUCAUAUAAUUAUUGUGCCCGCCGUCGCUCCUAUACGUUUACCGCGUUGCUUAUUUACCGCCGCAAGAAGAGCAUGGCCGAGCCCCUGCCGCCGGCCGAUUUCCACCAUUUCACUGCCUCCCACUUCAAUUCCUUCCACCCAAAUCCCCACCAACACCUCGCCAACAACUGUGCCUACUCGUUUUCCAACUUCCCCGCCGGCGAGCUCUUAGCUGCCGCUAUUUCCGUCCACCGCCGCCAAACUUCUUGCUCACGAUGAGCACUUCCUUGCCACCUCUCUCUCUUCGUGUGAUAGGUCCUAGGUAGGUCUGUAGGUCCCUAGGGAACCUUAGGAGGAGUCAAGCGUCGUGUUGGUGGUGUUGUCGUGCUGGUCCACGGGCGGCUUCUGGUCAAGCCGCCCGCCGCCAUGGAGAGGCCAGCUCCGGCCGUCUCCCAGGGGGCCGCCGCCGCCCACGGGUGCGCCGUGGCCUGGGGAUGCCUCCCCGGCCCGACCCCGUUGCUGGCGGGACGCCGGCCGUCGAGCCGCGCCGCCCCCUUUUGCGCCCUGCUUUUGGCGCGGGGAAGAAGAAGUCCUCGCGCUUGGGGCCCAUGUGCUAGGGAGAGAGGAGGGGAAGAGAAGGUGGGCCGGCGGGUAGAAUAGGAAGGGGGAGUAGAGUCGGUCCAGUAGGGCCCAGCGCGAGAGAGAGAGGGUAGAGAGGAUUAGAGUGAGAAAAGUUGGGCCGGGGGUAUUUGGAUAAUCUUAGGUUUUUCCUUUUAUAGAUAAAUAGUGUAAAUUUGGUUUUCACCAUUUAAAUCACAUGAAAUUAUAGAAGUGUCCAAAAUUAGUGAAACCAAUUUUGUUAGGAUUGUUUUAUUUUCCUUUAUGCAUUAAAAUUCUUACACCUUAGGAAAAAUAAUAAAAUUUAGGUAUUUAUUUGAUGCCUUUUCAUUAAGGUAUUUAAAUAAAUACUUAACCUUUAUUAAAU